UCCCGUUUAGCUCAGCUGGUAGAGCGCGUCACUAGUAAUAAUACGCUUACGCAAAAAUUUAAUGACGAGGUCAGUCGUUCAAGUCGGCUAAUGGGAA